UACAGAGGAGCCAAGCGUUGUCCGGAUUGACUGGGCGUAAAGCGCACGCAGGCGGUUGCGCGCGUGGGGUGUGAAAUCUGGCCGCUUAACGGCCAGGCGCCAUCCCAUACGGCGCGACUGGAGUGAUGCAGAGGUCGAUGGAAUUGCCGGUGUAGUGGUGAAAUGCGUAGAGAUCGGCAGGACACCCAGGGGGAAACCAGUCGACUGGGCAUCUAGCGUGACGCUGAGGUGCGAGAGCGUGGGGAGCGAACCGG
rnacentral:rRNA from 1 species